rnacentral:rRNA from 1 species
AUUGAACGCUGGCGGCAGGCCUAACACAUGCAAGUCGAGCGGAUGAAGAGAGCUUGCUCUCUGAUUCAGCGGCGGACGGGUGAGUAAUGCCUAGGAAUCUGCCUGGUAGUGGGGGGCAACGUUUCGAAAGGAACGCUAAUACCGCAUACGUCCUACGGGAGAAAGUGGGGGAUCUUCGGACCUCACGCUAUCAGAUGAGCCUAGGUACGAUUAGCUAGUUGGUGAGGUAAAGGCUCACCAAGGCGACGAUCGUUAACUGGUCUGAGAGGAUGAUCAGUCACACUGGAACUGAGACACGGUCCAGACUCCUACGGGAGGCAGCAGUGGGGAAUAUUGGACAAUGGGCGAAAGCCUGAUCCAGCCAUGCCGCGUGCGUGAAGAAGGUCUUCGGAUUGUAAAGCACUUUAAGUUGGGAGGAAGGGCAGUAAGUUAGUACCUUGCUGUUUUGACGUUACCGACAGAAUAAGCACCGGCUAACUUCGUGCCAGCCGCCGCCGUAA